rnacentral:rRNA from 1 species
CCAGACUCCUACGGGAGGCAGCAGUGAGGAAUAUUGGUCAAUGGGCGUGAGCCUGAACCAGCCAAGUCGCGUGAAGGACGACGGUUCUAUGGAUUGUAAACUUCUUUUGUAGAGGAAUAACGGUAGCUACGUGUAGCUGAGAUGCAUGUACUCUACGAAUAAGUAUCGGCUAACUCCGUGCCAGCAGCCGCGGUAAUACGGAGGAUACGAGCGUUAUCCGGAAUUAUUGGGUUUAAAGGGUGCGUAGGUGGCGUAUUAAGUCAGUGGUGAAAAGCUGCAGCUCAACUGUAGUCUUGCCGUUGAAACUGAUAUGCUAGAGAGGAGACGAGGUAUGCGGAAUGUGUGGUGUAGCGGUGAAAUGCAUAGAUAUCACACAGAACGCCGAUUGCGAAGGCAGCGUACCAGGCUCCGUCUGACACUGAAGCACGAAAGCGUGGGGAUCAAACAGGAUUAGAUACCCUGGUAGUCCACGCAGUAAACGAUGAAUACUAGAUUUUUGCGAUAUACUGUAAGAGUCUAAGCGAAAGCGAUAAGUAUUCCACCUGGGGAGUACGCCGGCAACGGUGAAACUCAAAGGAAUUGACGGGGGCCCGCACAAG